rnacentral:rRNA from 1 species
AUUGAACGCUGGCGGCAGGCCUAACACAUGCAAGUCGAACGAGUGGCGGACGGGUGAGUAAUGUCUGGGACACUGCCUGCUGGAGGGGGGUAACUACUGGAAACGGUAGCUAAUACCGCAUACCAUCAGAUGUGCCCAGAUGGGAUUCGCUAGUUGGUGGGGUAACGGCUCACCAAGGCGACGACCCCUAGCUGGUCUGAGAGGAGGAACAGCCACACUGGAACUGAGACACGGUCCAGACUCCACCGGGACGCAGCAGUGGGGAAUAUUGCACAAUGGGCGCAAGCCUGAUGCAGCCAUGCCGCGUGUAUGAAGAAGGCCUUCGGGUUGUAAAGUACUUUCAGCGGUGAGGCGUUACCAGCAGAAGAAGCACCGGCUAACUCCGUGCCAGCAGCCGCGGUAAUAC